AGCUCCAAUAGCGUAUAUUAAAGUUGUUGCAGUUAAAAAGCUCGUAGUUGGAUUUCUGGUAGGAGCGACCGUGCCGAACUUGAUUGUUCGAGUAUUGUGUUGUCUUCAGCCAUCCUCGUGGAGAACUUUUCUAACAUUAACUUGUUGGGAUUGGGACCCGCGUCGUUUACUGUGAAAAAAUUAGAGUGUUUAAAGCAGGCAUUAGCUUGAAUACAUUAGCAUGGAAUAAUAAGAUAGGACUUUGGUACUAUUUUGUUGGUUUGCAUACCAAAUUAAUGAUCAACAGGAACAGUUUGAGGAUAUUCGUAUGAACAUGUCAGAGGUGAAAUUCUUGGAUUUUGAUCAGACGAACUACUGCGAAAGCAUUUAUCAAGGAUGUUU
rnacentral:rRNA from 1 species